UUACCACGAUGACUUGCAAGCAACUCACUGUGCUUUGGUGUUGGACUACCUGAAUUUUUAAUUCGAGAUCGGAAGAUUUUUAGGCAAAGUCAAGUAUUUGUGAAGUCGGUGUGUGAGUCAAGAUGGAAUUGACCACUCCAAGAGAUUGAAGAGAAUACUUUGUAUUUCAAUUUAGUAAGACCUUGGCUAGGGCAAUCCUUUUGAAGAGUCACAAAAUUUAUCAGGUUGAGACAUAUAAUGGAUGUACUAUUAAGAGUUAACAAUUUAAACUCUAUGUCUUCCUAGCAUUAAGGAUCAAAGGG
rnacentral:lncRNA from 1 species